rnacentral:rRNA from 1 species
UUUCUGAGAGUUUGAUCCUGGCUCAGGAUUAACGCUGGCGGCAUGCCUAAUACAUGCAAGUCGAUCGAAAGUAGUAAUACUUUAGAGGCGAACGGGUGAGUAACACGUAUCCAAUCUACCUUAUAAUGGGGGAUAACUAGUUGAAAGACUAGCUAAUACCGCAUAAGAACUUUGGUUCGCAUGAAUCAAAGUUGAAAGGACCUGCAAGGGUUCGUUAUUUGAUGAGGGUGCGCCAUAUCAGCUAGUUGGUGGGGUAACGGCCUACCAAGGCAAU